rnacentral:tRNA from 1 species
AAUAGUGUGCCUGAAUUUAAAGGAUUAUUCUGAUGGAGUAAAGUAUAUAGUACAAACUAUCACUAUUA